UAACCCUAAUUUCCUCCUCCAACAAUUGACAAUUGAUGCCACUGCUCGACAUCGUCUCCUAUUUCAAACCCUAAAGUAUCAAUUUUCUUUCUGAUUCUUGUCUAACAACUUCAGUUCUUGUAAUAACAACUUCAACACAGAUUGAGGCUUCGAAAAUCUCUACUGAGGAUAUCUGCAAGUGAGGUAUUCUUUAGAACGAUACAAGAAGAUGAAGCCGAUGGCGAUUCAAGCCGAUUGGAUCAUGUGAAACCUUGAUGGAAGGUAGAAUAAGAAAGAGAGGGGAAGAUGGAGGAAUAGAGAGAGACAACGAGAUAUUUUCUAGAGUUGUUAACUCAAUCGUCGUGGUCGAAUCGAUCAAAUGCUAGAACAAACAAAGGUGCUCCUGAACUGGUAAGUGCAAUCUUUUAUGUUAAAUUUGAAUAGAUUUACCUGACCCUUUGUUGAUGCAAGGAAAGUUAACGCGAUGAUUGAUGAAUUUGUGGAAUGUGGAUUGCAUUUUUUUGGCUAUUGCAAAACAGGAACGUAUGACAGUUCUGAGACCAGGUGAUCCAUGGUAGUUUGUUGGUUUGUUGUACUUUUAGUCGUUUAGACCCACCUAGGCAUGACAGUGCUAAGAGCAUUGCCAAGCUCUCAAUCUUGUGAAGAUGAUUACUGACAUAGGUGAUCAACUUGCUAUAGUUGUAGACGACUUGGUAUGGGAAUGAACAUGUACCCUUCUUAUUUACUGCAUAUGGGAAAGCAGCCACAUCUCGGAUGGCUAUUGGCUCUGGAUUAAUGGCCCAAGGAAUACCAAAUGAUGUCACGUCAGGUAUCAUGUAUUGGAAUACAUGUUAUCAACAUGCUAGAGUGGAUAAUCAGACAUGCGUUCUGGUGAUAUGAUGUGAGUUUUUGCUACUUUGUGAUUUCCCGAUAUCAAGCAGUCACCUCGUAAGUCGCAACCAUUCUUCUUUUAGACAAACCUUUGCGAUUCCAAAUCUCAGUAUCGGUCUGCCGGAAAUUGUUCGAGUUGCUCGGAAUUUCUCUGCUAUGAUCAGAGUUGAGGGCCUGGUCCUAAAAGGGUUAAAGAUGAGAAAACAUGCUUUCCAUCAUUACAUCCAUGAGAGUAUCAUCUCAUGACCAAGUUCCAGCUUUGACAUGGCAUUGGAGGAGGGAACCGGUAAGUGAAAAUGAUGUUGCGGACUAGAACAGUGCAAGGAGAUGCUACAGGAAUCUCUGUAACUGAGAAUAGGGAAUAGUGGAAGUCUUCUUCAUCUGGGACUUGAGUUACAAUAAUUUAAGUGGGCAAAUUCCUCCGAUAAUCGGAAACUUGACGUACACCGACAAAUUGUAAGAAACUAAAAACAUGGUUUGAUUUAUGUUUUUAUACGGUUUGGAAUCUUUCGUCAAACAACAUCGUGGGUACUAUUCCGAAAGACCUGUCUCGGAUUGGUAACUUGGAUACAUUGGACCUUUUUAACAACAAAAUUAGCGGCCCGAUCCCUUUGCCGCUUGGUGAUUUGGAAUAUCUUUUGAAAUUGAAUCUGAGUCGGAAUGAGUUCUCCGGGUAUCUACCAGCCGAGUUUAGAAACUUAAGAAGUGUCAUGGACACAGAUCUUUCGUACAAUCAUCUCUUGGGUGUAGUGCCCCAGGAACUCACGCUGUAUGUUCCCACACGACUUGCAUUUUACAAUCUUGUGUAACGUUGCAAAAUGACAUUUUUCUUUGAUUAAUGCAUUGCAGAAAGUUAGAAAGUAAUAACGUUAAAAGUGUUAUUUAUAUACUUUUAUUUGUUGUAAAUUGAAUUUUCCUACCCGGAAAAUUUCCGGGUUAUAACCUAGUAUUAUAUAUAAAUAACACUUUUUACUU
rnacentral:lncRNA from 1 species